rnacentral:rRNA from 1 species
GACGAACGCUGGCGGCGUGCCUAAUACAUGCAAGUUGAGCGAUGAAGAUUGGUGCUUGCCCCAAUUUGAAGAGCAGCGCACGGGUGAGUAACGCGUGGGGAAUCUGCCUUUGAGCGGGGGACAACAUUUGGAAACGAAUGCUAAUACCGCAUAACAACUUUAAACAUAAGUUUUAAGUUUGAAAGAUGCAAUUGCCUCACUCAAAGAUGAUCCCGCGUUGUAUUAGCUAGUUGGUGAGGUAAAGGCUCACCAAGGCGAUGAUACAUAGCCGACCUGAGAGGGUGAUCGGCCACAUUGGGACUGAGACACGGCACAAACGGCUACGGGAGGCAGCAGUAGGGAAUCUUCGGCAAUGGACGAAAGUCUGACCGAGCAACGCCGAGGGAGUGAAGAAGGUUGUCGGAUCGGAAAACUCUGUUGGUAGAGAAGAAAGUUGGUGAGAGUGGAAAGCUCAUCAAGUGACGGUAACUACUCAGAAAGGGACGGCUAACUACGUG